UCUGGGUGUGGUAGUGCACACCUGUAAUCCCAGCUGCUCGGGAGGCUGAGGCAGGGGGAUCCCAAGUUCAAGACCAGCCUGGGCAACGUAGAGAGACACGGGUCACAAAAAAAAUAAAAUAACAAGAGACGUAGCUUCGUCGGAGAGCCUGCCUUGGU
rnacentral:sRNA from 1 species